UAAAAAAGAUUAUGUCUGACGUUCUUAUUUGUUAUUAACAUUCAAAGUUAUCUGACUUCCCAUCUUCAUUGGUAAAGGUUUAAGAGAAGCUCAAGUCAUGCCAAGGGAAGACAGCCUUCCGUCGCUUAUUCUCAAGAUUUUGUACCCCAAUAUUUCUAGAGUCCUUCAACUUAACCUUUCUAGCUGAAUGGGGUGACCGUAACAAGAUCGCUACAAUAGAUUUGGCGACUCACAAGAACGCUAUAGGAUUGUCCAUCGGGGCAACUAUUGGACAAAUGCGUUGUGUACUUCACCAGCGGUUGUUGGAGGAAGCAUGCUGGCUUUAAGGAUCUCACAACGGACGGUUGCAACUGUUGGAGGCUUGCUCUUCUUCGGCUUUUCAGUCUCCUCCUAUUUCUAUCCUCCACUACAGUCAAUGCGCUUCUUUCGAAAAUGGGUGUUGGAGACAUUGUCUAAGUAAAGUUUCAAUUUUUUUUUUUUUGUAUUAAGUUUGAUUUUUGUUUAAUACGAAAGAAUCCAGCAUCAAUACUUUUAC